rnacentral:snoRNA from 1 species
AAUCCCCAGUCCGUCACCCACCAGAUCUAAACCUUGGUCGGAGUGGCUAGGGAAGGAGGAAAAGUGGACCGGAAGUGGACUCGGUUUCUGUAGUGACAUAUAAGUUCAUUUAAAGACAAAA